rnacentral:tRNA from 1 species
GGUAAGGUGGCUGAGGUAAGCGGUGGAUUGUAGCCCCAUAGACAGAGGUUUAAGUCCUCUCUUUACCA